rnacentral:rRNA from 1 species
AUUGAACGCUGGCGGCAUGCCUAACACAUGCAAGUCGAGCGCGUAGCAAUACGAGCGGCAGACGGGUGAGUAACGCGUGGGAAUCUACCGUACCCUACGGAAUAGCUCUGGGAAACUGGAGGUAAUACCGUAUACGCCCUAACGGGGAAAGAUUUAUCGGGGUAUGAUGAGCCCGCGUUGGAUUAGCUAGUUGGUGGGGUAAAGGCCUACCAAGGCGACGAUCCAUAGCUGGUCUGAGAGGAUGAUCAGCCACAUUGGGACUGAGACACGGCCCAAACUCCUACGGGAGGCAGCAGUGGGGAAUAUUGGACAAUGGGCGCAAGCCUGAUCCAGCCAUGCCGCGUGAGUGAUGAAGGUCUUAGGAUUGUAAAGCUCUUUCACCGAUGAAGAUAAUGACGGUAGUCGGAGAAGAAGCCCCGGCUAACUUCGUGCCAGCAGCCGCCGCCG